rnacentral:rRNA from 1 species
AACGAACGCUGGCGGCAGGCCUAACACAUGCAAGUCGAACGCCGUAGCAAUACGGAGUGGCAGACGGGUGAGUAACACGUGGGAACGUACCCUUCGGUUCGGGAUAACUCAGGGAAACUUGAGCUAAUACCGGAUACGUCCGAGAGGAGAAAGAUUUAUCGCCGAGGGAUCGGCCCGCGUCUGAUUAGCUUGUUGGUGAGGUAACGGCUCACCAAGGCGACGAUCAGUAGCUGGCUGAGAGGAUGAUCAGCCACAUUGGGACUGAGACACGGCCCAAACUCCUACGGGAGGCAGCAGUGGGGAAUAUUGGACAAUGGGCGCAAGCCUGAUCCAGCCAUGCCGCGUGAGUGAUGAAGGCCCUAGGGUUGUAAAGCUCUUUUACCCGGGAAGAUAAUGACUGUACCGGGAGAAUAAGCCCCGGCUAACUUCGUGCCAGCAGCCGCCGUAA